rnacentral:tRNA from 1 species
GUUUUAAUAGUUUAAUAAAAAUUUUGAUUUUGUAAUUCAACGAUAAGAACACUCUUUUAAAACU